rnacentral:rRNA from 1 species
GACGAACGCUGGUGGCGUGCUUAACACAUGCAAGUCGAACGGGAUUUAGUAAACAGAAGCCUCGGUGGAAGAUUACUAAUGAGAGUGGCGAACGGGUGAGUAACGCGUGAGCAACCUGCCUAUGACAGUGGGAUAGCCUCGGGAAACCGGGAUUAAUACCGCAUAAAAUCGUAGAAACACAUGUUUUAACGAUCAAAGAUUUAUCGGUCAUAGAUGGGCUCGCGUCUGAUUAGCUAGUUGGUGAGAUAACAGCCCACCAAGGCGACGAUCAGUAGCCGGUCUGAGAGGAUGAACGGCCACAUUGGAACUGAGACACGGUCCAAACUCCUACGGGAGGCAGCAGUGGGGAAUAUUGCACAAUGGGGGAAACCCUGAUGCAGCGACGCCGCGUGAACGAAGAAGGUAUUCGUAUCGUAAAGUUCUGUCCUAUGGGAAGAUAAUGACAGUACCAUAGAAGAAAGCUCCGGCUAAAUACGUG